UUUCUUGCAGAGUCCCCGCCCUCCUCCCUCCGGUCUCCGCUCGCUCUUCCCCCUCCCCCCAAUGAAACCACACCCAACUUUUUAAACAAGAUCUGAAGAUCCUGGGUGAAAGAGGAAACUCGACGUCCGUAGUUUCAAAAUUGAACUCCGUGAUCAGUGGUUUUUACGCUGGUGGAAGUCAUUAAAGCAGCAGAACCCAUUUUGAUCUGGAGAAUAUGGUGCCCUCAAUGAAUCAUCAGGAAGUCCAUAAACAGUUUUGGGGGUUUUCUAUGGAGAUCUCAUUUCUUAAUUCUGACUCAACCCACCAGAAUGAAUGGAUAAUUAUGGCAUUUGAAUCUUGCAUACAGAUAAGUGAAUAAAAAUGCUUUGCCCCAUUUGCUAGAGAAAAAGAAAUAAAACUGACCGCAGUUUUGGAACAUAUUACUUCUAUCAGUAAAAACAGCUUCUCCCUAUACUUACUGUCUAUUAGUUUGAUUUUUUUAGGGAGAUUUAUUAAUAUUUUAGUCCUUCAUGGUACUGCUAUUGUGCAAUCCAAGAACUAUGGGGGAGUUUCUGGAAAUGAGAGGAAGCUCAGGGAAUUAUAGGCAAGCAAGAUUCUCAAGACCAAACAGAAAGGCAUUACUGAUAAUACACGUGUGCCUACUAGCCAGUUUUUAAAUUUUCUUGUUUAAUGCUAAUCUCAUUGCUUUUGUGUAUCAGAUUUUCCUAAGUAGUGCUCAUCAGUACCAGGUUUAUUUUAAAAUAGAGCAUGUUUAAUGUACUUCACAUGUCUGCAAGGGGAACAGCAGCAAGUACCACAGUCGCAUGGUAUAUAUAAGGGAAAAAGAAGGCAUAUACGUGUUAAAAAGCCUGAUGAAAUCCUAAUUCAGUAGGGGCAAAUUACUUCAUAGAUUGGAUUAUUUUGAAAAGAACUAGCAAAAUCCAUUUUUUGAUAUAUUUUGACUUUUUUUUAUGAGACAGGAUCUCACAAUGUCACCCAGGCUAGAAUACAGUGACACCAUCACAGCUCAUGGUAGCCUUGACCUCCCGAGCUCAAGUGAUCCUCCUACCUCAGCCUCUUGAGUAGCUGGGACUACAGGCACAUGCCACCAUGCCCAGAUAAUUUUUUAAAUAUAUUUUGUAGAGAAAGGGUUUUGCCAUGUUUCCCAGGCUAGUCUCAAACUCAGAGCUCCAGUGAUCCCUCCUCAGCCUCCCAAAGUCUUGGGAUUACAGGCAUGAGCCACUGCACCUGCCUGGCCUGUAUUUUGAGUCUUUAUAUGUGCCGGUUCCCUGCUAGGUGCUAAGGACACAGAAAUGAAUACCACCCCUGCCUUGCUCUCAGCCGGCUCCCAAUCUGCUCCUCCUUUCUCUGUUAAAUCAUUUUGCCUUCAAGUCUUGCAUAAUGUGGUGGCCACAUUGAGACCCAGUUGAAUAGUUUCACAAUAACUCCCUUCAGUCAGAGGGCCUUGGUGAAAUAACUUUGACUUUUACUCUGAAAUCCAUGGAAAUGCAAAGUUUACUGUUUUGUUCUCCUUGAUAAAAUAUAGCAUAAUAACUAGUUGCUGGGUUACUACCUAAAACACAGACUCCAAACUGCAGCCGGGAAGAGCAGUUAGCAAUUAAGUAAAGGAAAUGACUAUGACUAGUGGGUUUGAAACCCGACACACAGCCCAUAUCCGUCUUAGCAUAGAGAGGCAUUGAUGUUACUUAGGCAACUUUUAUCACUAAGGAAGUAGUUUUGGUGACUCAUGCUCAUACAGAGUAACUUAUUUCAAGUCCUGGGUGUUCAGUAACCUUACCAUUAUGCUUCUGUUUUCUUCUUUUUGGACUCAGACAGCAAAGCUCCAUUUGGAUGACAUAGAUUUAUCACUUGGUAGUGUACCAUGUAUUGGCUGUCCCACAUUUUGAAAUUUAAUGGACUCAUGGUGAUCAGAAUAAAAGAUGAAAAAUGGAAUUAUAAUCUCUACUGAGGGUUGCUACUACAAGAGGAAGGAAUCCUAAGGAAAUUCACUGGCCAGAUAGAAGUCUUCGAUGUGAGGCCCAGGCAUCGGGUAUCAUGUGUGUGAUUCACGAGCCUUGGCAUCUGAACGCUUUUCUGGAAGGACCCAUUAAGACAACAUGUUGGGGAUGUACUAGUGAAGUGAUUCUCAAAAUGUGGUACUCAGACCUGUAGCAUCAGCAUCACCUGAAAAUCUGUUAGAAAGUCCAGCUGCUAAUCCCCACUUUAGAUCAACUAAAUCUGAAACUCUGGGAGUAGGUGGGGUCCAGCAAUUUGUGUUUUUACAAGACUUACUAGGUGAUUCUGAGAACCACUGUGCUGGUGAAUUGUUCCUGUCUGUGGCCACAGAGAAUACAAAAAGUAUAGGGUUGGAAGAUGGGGAAAUUGAUGAGUGUUCACUUAUGAGGAAAUGGAGAAUAGACAGAAAAGCACGAGUUAACUUUUGGAAUUCAAAAAAAGAAGCAAUUUGUAAAAGCCAGGAAUUUGAUUUGCAGGACUAAUUGCUUGCAGAAUCUUUGCUUUCUCAGAGAGGGGCAAUCCAGAUCACUAGGUUACCGUGAAAUAUAUUGGUAUGGUUCAAAAAUUCUAGAAUAAUCUCACUAGUGGGAAAAGGCAUACCUUUCCAUAUUAGGACAAAACUUCAUAUCAGGUUUGUAAAAUCCUGUAAGAUUCUUGUAUCAUAUUGUCGUGGCCAACUUGUUUCUCUGGAGACCCCAGUUUCUACAUCUGAAAACCAUAUGCAUUCCUGCUCAGCAUGAAUUAUCUCACUGGAUGAAGCGAGAGAUUCAGGAUGUGUAAGAGCAUUUGUGAAGCAUUUAAAUUACCAAGAAAUGGGAAGUAUAAAGAUCAAGAAUGAUUAAUAUAACGACUGAUGGUAAAGAGGUAUUUAGAAGUUGCUACAAAAAAUGAGUUGCUUAUUUCAGUCUCUCUUUGCUAUAUCUGCCUUUUGAGUGCUGACUCCGUCAUGUAUUCAUUACUUGAUUUUAAAUGAAUCACGUUUUUUAAAGCUUUUAAUCUGUUUCCUCAACAAAAAUAUAGUAUUAAUAAUAUUUACUCAUAGAAUUGUUGUGAGAAUAAAAUAGAUUCAAUUGGCUUUCCAAAAAAUAUGGAAAUACAGUUUCAAAGAAUAAAGCAAUACCAUUUUUGGUUA